UGAUGUUUGGACUCUUUCAGGUGUGCUGGCCGGCCAUGACAACCGAGUAAGCUGUCUGGGUGUAACCAAUGACGGUAUGGCAGUGGCUACAGGGUCCUGGGACAGCUUCCUCAAGAUCUGGAACUGAACGCUGAAGGUGCUUUCAAUACAACAUGUCCGAUACAAUAUCAUUUGAACUCCAAAGUUGACUGGAAGACCAUUCCAACUUUAGAAUGUUAAAUUUCACAGCAUCGUCAACAACAAAACACCUUAUAAAACUGACUGACACCACCAUGAAAAGAAAUAAAACUUCUAAGGGAAAACAAUGCCUUUCCUACACCAAGAAGAGCACAAUUUGUUUUAUCACCCAGCUUAAAAAAGAAAGAA